UCUCAUGCAAUCAACGAAUCUGUGUCACACGAUCGAACUAUUAUUGGCUUGGCAACAAAGUGAUUGCGGAUUUUGUCAACCUAAUAUUAUCGCGUUACGUUAGACCGACCUUUGAUUGAUAUCGAUACACUGAAAAUACUCUGUAGCAGGGUAUUUGGAAUAGCAAUAACAAAUAGACACGCUGCUCGAGUUGAUUGAUUUAUUCAUAGGAAAGAAUCGGUUUGCAGAAGCAAGUGUUAAUUUGGAAAACAUCAGCGUGACGUUGACACGCUAUAAAACACUUUAUAGUUGAGGAAGCUCGAAAGUCGUGAGUAACGGUGAAUUGCAAGAGCCGGCUGAGUUUAAUUCACGUCACAGUUUUCACGACUUUAAAUAACCUACCUUGCAGCUUGAAACCUCACAACCUACCGUCUGACGUCGUAAAGGUUAAUCACAGUCGUGGACACUUUUUAAAAUAGAACGAUUCUUUUCAAACCGGACUAAACGACUAACUUCACACACAGGAUCACAUGACCAGCUUCCUGGAAGCUACGAGGAUCAGUUUGCUGGAUGACGCGUAGAAAACAUUCUGAGAAAAUUGCGAUCGAUCGGAAUCGCGAAGAUCGUUUUUUAUUUUACAAUUUAAGCAACACGUUUUCCACAAUUAUGUCGCGAUUCGCGGAUUACAAAUGGAAUUUGUUUUUGAACUCGACUAAGUAACGCAAACUACUCUUUUAUCAACAGGAGAUUGUUCUAGGCACGAAAAGAAGCCAGAGAAUAACAUUUAUUCGUUUAAGGCCUCAUUUUCGAGAAGAUAAAGUUCGAUGGACUAUACAUUUAAAAAUUUAUUUUUCUCGAGAACAAAGAAUUUUAUAAAAGAAUUUUAUCCUGAAUUUUCGACUUAUUCUCACGCGCGGUUUUACAUCCUGUCGAUUAAUUGCUCCUGUUCGAUCCGCGAUUAGCCAAGUUUCAAGUAUAUUCGUCACAUGUUUAAUUUUCCCGGAAAUUGAAUUUUCUCGUCCUACGAAAAAAUUGUUUUCUCUCUUUCUGACUCAUUUUUACAUCAUCAGUCGCAACUCUUGAAAACGCGUUGUUUAAAUUUCCCUUCCAGGUUUGAAAAGUUGUAAAGAAAAUUGUCCCUUGCUUUUCUCUACGCCAUUUCGAUCAAUCGGAAUUUUCUGAAAAUUAUUUUAUCCAGUAAAGCAAUUGUUCCAACUUCUGAAAAACAGCACGUCGUUUGACCCGAUUUCAAGAAACUUUUUUAUUUAUUUUUGUCAUCUUAAAAAAGUGUAAUACAAUAUCUUAAUUCUGUGCCAUGAAAUCUUGUCAAAUUCAACCACCGUGCGCACUGAACAUUUGUUUAAAUUAAAUGCACGUGUUUUCUUUAAUUAGACGAGUGCACGUUAUCUGUUUAUCAGCGUCCGGUAGCCAUCGGCCGGGAUCCUCGUGUCGAAUUUAAAUGGCCGGUUCUCUUCUUUCAAGCGUCUGUUUACGGCUGUUGUACACGGCUCGUGCUCGUCAGAUGAAAAACCGAUAGAUCUAGCGGUAAACGAGCGAGGAAAAAACGGAAUACAUACAAACACACAGAACAUAGAUAUCUGUUUUGAAAAUCAGAGAACGCAGCCAACGAUUCGUUGUUCCUCGGGCUUCCUGUUUGUUUGUUUGCCCGUUCCGCGUGCCUGUUUGUCUAAUUAAUAUUAAUAAGUUCUUAUCUUUCUUUUUUCUUGAUCCUCUAGCGAUAGCUAUAUUUAGAACACAGGAGUCUUGUUGCAAGUUAAAAUGUAAGGUAUUACGUGGGAAGAAUAUUUAACAUGUACACUGUGUAUAUAUAGACAUCUCGGAAUAGCGUUGCCUGUUAAAUUACUUAACUUUAAUCAUUUUUCAUCAUCCAUAAUUCAUCGAAUUUUUCGAAACGUAAUCCACCGCCUAAGAAUUGUUAUUUCAGUUUCUACGUCAAAGAUUUUUCUAAUUUUCCCUGGCUAUAUAUAACAUCUGUUUCUUCACGGUCGUUGAACAUUUAGGACGAUAUUGCGAUGCUCUUAUUAAGUCUGUGUUAAAUGGAUUUUUUCGCACUGUACUCGGGUUAAGAACAGCUAUUUACGUGAUAUAAUUGAAAAGAACGAUAGUUUGAUGUCGUGUUGUAUACUGUGAUUUCUACCGAUACCAGCGCCAUCUUAUGUACACACGCAUUAACUUACGAUCAUUGUAAUCGGGAAACAAUCAACUAUGUUCAUGGUAACUGGUAAGAUCGUUGAAAAUUGUAUUGUUUGGUUUUUCAUUUUUAUCGUUUCGAGCAUUUCUGAACACGCGAUCAUCUGUUUUUCUAUGCAAACUGUUGUAAGUCGCGAGAUUUUCUCGGUAAACAGUAACACGAUAUUGCUUUUCGCAUUGCGUCGUUGAAAAUUGUCGAGGGAGAACCGUCGUUGCUGUCACAGUAGUUGGAAACUAAUUUCCGUGUUGCCCAAAAACAGUUAGAUUUACUUUUACUGUUUUUUAGUUAGAUUUACUUUGACUGUUCAGGUCAAACGAAGUGAAAAUUCUGAACUUUGUCCAACAAACUUCGGUUUCUUCGUUUGACAACGGUGCGCCACAUUUUCCUGAAUUUUGUGACCAUGAUAAAUUCAUAUACA